CCAAAGUGGAAGACUAGAGGAUGCAUAAAAUGUUUUUGAAGAUCUUUUGCUCAAAGGCUAUAAUCUUAAUGUCUAUGCAUAUACAUCCAAGGGUUUUGUGACAAAGGCUUGUUUGAUGAAGCGUUGACAUUGCUGUCAAAAAUGAAUAGCCAUUGUGUCUUUACUUGUGUUUACUAUUACAAAAAUGUGUUUUCUUUUUUCGUUACAGACAACACAAAGUAGAUGAAGC
rnacentral:lncRNA from 1 species